rnacentral:rRNA from 1 species
CCAAUAGCGUAUAUUAAAGUUGUUGCAGUUAAAAAGCUCGUAGUUGAAUUUCGAGAUCAAUUUGUCGGUCGUGCCUCGGUACGUACUGGCAUUAUUGAUUUCUCCCUUCUGAAGAACCGCGAUGUCAUUAAUUUGGUGUCGCGGGGAAUCAGGACUGUUACUUUGAAAAAAUUAGAGUGUUUAAAGCAGGCGCACGCUUGAAUACAUUAGCAUGGAAUAAUGAAAUAGGACGUUUGAUUCUAUUUUGUUGGUUUCUAGGAUCGACGUAAUGAUUAAUAGGGAUAGUUGGGGGCAUUAGUAUUCAAUUGUCAGAGGUGAAAUUCUUGGAUUUAUUGAAGACUAACUACUGCGAAAGCAUUUGCCAAGGAUGUUUUCAUUAAUCAAGAACGAAAGUUAGGGGAUCGAAGACGAUCAGAUACCGUCGUAGUCUUAACCAUAAGCUAUGCCGACUAGGGAUCGGAUGAUGUUAAUUUUUUAAUGACUCAUUCGGCGCCUUACG